UAUGUAAUUUCCCGUUUAUCUAAGUACUAAUAUAUUAGUCUUUAUUUCAUCAUUUAUUAUUGCUGAAAAGUCUUCCUGAAUACUUGUUUCUUAAAAUCUUCAUAAGGUAGUUUUUGUUUUGUUUUAACUCACUGUAUUAGUAGCCAAACAUGCGAGUGGCAAUACCUGAAAAAGAACAAAUAAAAAUAGAGAGGCUAGGUGCUUAAAUUCCAAAGUAUUUAGGGUCAGAUCUUUGUCCAGCAUUCCUGGGUGUGACUCUGACCUGGCCACAUGUUUUGGGUUUUAUUUGUAAAUGAAGGAUUAUAGCUUUCAUUUCCAGGAUCAUAGUGAGGAAGUAUAUGAUACAUUCCAUAACUCUCCCAGAUUGUUGUAAUAGCCUCUAGAUGGACUCUCUUGCUUUUAAUACAGCUGUGUUCCUAAAACAUGAUCUUGUCUUUAUUGUAUUUAAAUUUGUACUUGGAUUUUCCAGCUCUUGCACAGUAAGUUAGACUUUACAACUGAGCCUGCUAGACCCUCCAAACCAGCUUUAGUCUGUCUUUUGUUUUCAGUUUCAGGUACUCACAGAUUUAGGUGACCAGUGUUUGGAUCUUUCUAAAUCUGUCUAGCUAUUUGUAUGCCAUCUUGGUUUUACUUUAUAUCAUGUCCUUUAUGGGAAAUAUGCCCCAAAGCUAUAGACAUGAGCCUGGAAGUCCAGUCCUUUGUCUUUACUCACAUCUGCUUGAAAAAGCCCAUCUUCCUUCCUGUACCUCUAAAAUGUAACUUCUUCAAGAUUCAAUUCAAAUGCUACAUUCCUUGCCUUAUGUGAAAACUUUCCCUCAGAGUGACUCCAUGAUCUACUGAAUUUCAGGACUUUUGUACACUCUCUACUUAAUUUGACAACUGGAUACACACACACACACACACACACACACACACUUCCCAAGGCAAAAGCAAGAGGUUUAUUUUCUGGUGUGUGGAGCAGGGAGAAGGGUUGGAGGAACGGGUCAACCCUCAAUCAGUCCUUCUAGGUGAGUGACAAGAAGGCAACCCUGAAUAGCUACUACAGGAAGGUUUUAUACUUUUUAGGGGCACAGGUUACAUCAGCAAGGUUACAGUUCAAACUUAUUGGCUAAACAUAUUGACCUUUAAAUCUAUUGGCUAGCAAACAUGACACACAUUUGAACUCUUCCUUGGACUUUCCAGAGGGUUAGGUAACUAUUAGUACAUUCUGAGAAUUUUUUACUCAGGAAUGUUCCUCUGGGUAGAGAAUGGAACUUGGCCUAGCCACCCCAGGCAGGAGGAGAGAGCUGUAAGGAGGAAGUUGAACUGGAAAAAGCCCUUAUGGUCCCUCAUUCCCCACCUUUUACUUGUAUAAGCUCCAAUCCUGGAGCUGUGCUCAGGGUCUUGGGUAACUAACUCAUAGUCUUCAGGUCCUGUCCUCAGGGUCUCAUAUUGUUGGUGCAGGACCAUCAGCUACACUGCUCCCAUUCUCUCUUUUCUGAAGGCUAUAAACUUAUUCAGUAUGCAGGAUCCAAAGGUCAACAAGAGCAGGAAAACAAUUAGGGAUCCUAACAAGGUAGAUAUGAGGGUGGUUAACCAAGACUCAAACCAGCCCUGACUCUGUUCAUGUUUUUCUUCCACUUGGCUAGCCCUUCUCUCACCUUGGCCAUUGAAUGUUUAACAACCCCAGAAUGGCCUAUAUAAAAGCAACACUCCUCAGCUAAAGCAGCACGUAGCCCUCCUUGCUGCAGGGAAAGUUAAGUUUAAUCCCCUCCUAUUCUGUAGUACGACUUCUAAUAAUGAACUCAAUGAUUCUUGAAGGUGACUGAUGGCAGGUUCUGUUCUCUCUAUGUCUAAAUCAGUGUCUGCCCUCAGACUGUCAUAAUUUUUCCCUUAUAAGGCCCAAGCUGAGGGCCAGUGGCUGCACUGACCACUCCCAAUCCCAAUAGAAGGGAGACAAUGAGCAUUUUUGGUAUUUUUAAAGACUAUGACACAGAUUCGAAUCUAAAUCCAAACUAGUGAAGGAGUAAAUUUUUGAAAAGAUUGUGAAAAUAUAAUAUUUUAAUGAACAAAACCUUCCAAAAACGAUUUUUAAAGUUGCACUCAUUGUGCUCAACGCUCUGCAUUUGUUUCACCAUUUAAAGGGCUGCAUGUAUACAUGCAAACCAUGACACAGUUUCCUUGAUACGGCCAGCCAAUUUUGCCACUCUUUAUUAAUUAGCACAGCAAAAUAACAAAAGAGAACAGUGUAUGAAAGGUUCUGGAAAACUGGAAUUUCACUGGAUCCUAUUGGUUCCAUCAAUGGUCCUAUGUUUUUUAUCAGCUGUGCUGUUCUUACUGAGCAAAUUCUAGGGACACCCUAACAAUUUCAUUUAAAGCAGAUAUCUUCCACUUGAUGGGCUUUAUAAAGAAUAUACUUAAUUGCUUUCAUGUGGUUCUUCUCAGUUAACCAGAAAGCUGAACUGGUUGUAACUAGGUCACACAUACUAUACUUCACUUCAUGAUAAUGUAGCUUAAAAAUGAUAAACACAUGAUAAAUGCACUGACAGUGUCACACUAAGAUCUUAGGUCACAGUUUCAAUAGUAUAGCCAUAAACUAAUAACCAGCCUCUUCAAAUGAUAUCUCUUUGAUUUAUCAUAUUUUAAGAUGAAAUACCUAAGUUUAAAAAUAUUAAAAUAUAAAAACAGUAUUUAAAAAAGAAAAAACUAUGUCAUUACAUUUUAAUUAUGUUUACAAGUCUUUUUUCUUUCUUUUACCAAAGAACUAAAUUAUGGUUACAGUUUAAAAAGUGGGCUAAAUAACAGGAUACAGUUGUCAAGGCUAAAAUUAAACAUAGUAGCAAUUUUUUUUGUAAAUAAAAAAAAUACAGUUUUAAGGAGAGAGAAUGCAUUAUAAAAUUAUAGUUUAAUUUUCUGAAAACAGUACAGGCAGGGUUACCUGUUGUUCACCACACUGUUUUGUAGAAAGUGCAGACUGAAUAAUUUUUUUUUCAAAAAGUGACUGUGUAAAACUCCAUGUAUCUAAAAAUUUAAUAGGAAAAGAUUCACUUAUCAAGUCUCUCAUGUGUUAAUAGACACAUUGCAGCAACCAAUUAGUGCUACUAGAACACUGCAGAAUUGCUCUGUUCUGCCCCAAAUCAAAGCAAUGUACUUCAUAAAUACCCUUGCACACC
rnacentral:lncRNA from 1 species